GGUUAUAGGAACAAAACAGCAUUUAAUUGAAUUUAUAAAAGAGAGAGGAUGAUUAAAUUAUUUAUUAUCUUUUUCAGGAUGAAUUAACGCAUAGGUUUGAUCAAAUAGUUUCAUCCAGUCUCCUGCUAAAGAUUGAAUAGUUUCAUCAGCAUUAACUCUGUCAUUUCUUGGCUCAAUUUAGUGAUUAAUGUGGCAUAAAAAAAUAACAAUUUCUUGAUUAUUAAGAUCCUAUUUGAUGGCAAAUUACAAAUAGAUUCUACUUCAAAGCAAUUACUAAGUAGCCUUAUAAUAAUAAAGUAAGAUUGAAUAAUCAUCUUAUAAAACCUUAGUAAGUUUAUUAGAUCACUUUAAUUCAAGAUAUUACAAAAACAAACUCUGCUUCAUUUAAAAAAAAAAAACACAAAAAACCCAACUUUUCAGCCUGAGGCAUUUUCUCCUAAAUCUCAAGAGCAAAACGGGACCCGUAUGAAAAGGACAACCAGGAGUUGUAGGAAUAGAGGUCUUGAAAUGGCUUAGCCAGGGCUCAGGUACCCACUCAGAACUGCUUCCAACCAUCUUGGGGUAGAAUUUCACUACAGCUUUUAGCACACGUGACUCAUCAUUGUUGUACAGUUUGAAGUCACAGGCUAGGAGUCUGAAACAUCUUCUCAAAUAUCCUUUCCUCUAAAGAUGACAAUGAAGUGAAUGCAAGAAAAAUGAGUUGAAGAGAGCUUCUUAAUUCUUGAGUUACCUGACAAAAUCUCAUGAGGAGGUUGUCUUGGAAUGUGGAUACAAUCCUGGAGGUGAAGCAGCCAUAGUAUGAUCAUGCGGAAGAAAGUCAAACUCCAUGGUUUUUGUGGCUAGAAUGGAAUAAACUUGAGUCCUUCACAGCAUUGCUGAAA